CCCCACACUGGUACUGAGACACGGACCAGACUCCUACGGGAGGCGGCAGUGGGGAAUUUUGGACAAUGGGGGAAACCCUGAUCCAGCCAUUCCGCGUGAGUGAAGAAGGCCUUCGGGUUGUAAAGCUCUUUCAGGAGGGAAGAAACGGUUACGGAUAAUACCUGUGACUAAUGACGGUACCUUCAGAAGAAGCACCGGCUAACUACGUGCCAGCAGCCGCGGUAAUACGUAGGGUGCGAGCGUUAAUCGGAAUUACUGGGCGUAAAGCGUGCGCAGGCGGUUUUGUAAGUCAGAUGUGAAAGCCCCGGGCUCAACCUGGGAACUGCGUUUGAAACUACAAGGCUAGAGUGUAGCAGAGGGGGGUAGAAUUCCACGUGUAGCAGUGAAAUGCGUAGAGAUGUGGAGGAAUACCGAUGGCGAAGGCAGCCCCCUGGGAUAACACUGACGCUCAUGCACGAAAUCGUGGGGAGCAAACAGGAUUAGAUACCCUGGUAGUCCACGCCCUAAACGAUGUCAACUAGUUGUCGGGAGGGUAACCCUCUUGGUAACGCAGCUAACGCGUGAAGUUGACCGCCUGGAGAGUACGGUCGCAAGAUUAAAACUUAAAUGAAUUGACGG
rnacentral:rRNA from 1 species